CAGGAUUCCGGGAUUCUGUGACUCUGUGAGUGUGAUUCCAGGAUUCCCGGAUUCCCGGAUCCCAGGAUUCCGUGCCUCUGUGAGUCUGUGAUUCCCAGAUUCCAGGAUUCCCAGAUUCCCGGAUCCCAGGAUUCCGUGCCUCUGUGAGUCUGUGAUUCCAGGAUUCCCGGAUCCCAGGAUUCCCGGAUCCCAGGAUUCCGUGCCUCUGAUUCCAGGAUUCCCGGAUUCCCGGAUCCCAGGAUUCCGUGCCUCUGUGAGUCCCCGCCCCAGCCCAGCCCUCCCCCAGCCCCGGUGAUUUUCCCUGGGGAUUCCCCUCUGGGAAUUCCCGCAGAGCCGCCUCCCCAGGGGCCACAGCCCGACCCGGGGGUGUGAAUUUAAACCGGAUUAAAUCGUGUUAAACCCACGCCUGGACCUUCCCCUUCCGAAGGCAGCCGGGCCCUAACCGGGUUUAGCCUCGAGAAUUAAACUAAACUGAAUUAAA